rnacentral:rRNA from 1 species
GUGACAAACCGGAGGAAGGUGGGGAUGACGUCAAGUCAGCAUGGCCUUUAUGUCUGGGGCCACACACGUGCUACAAUGGCAGGUACAAACCGUCGCGAGACCGCAAGGUGGAGCUAAUCGGAGAAAGCCUGUCUCAGUUCGGAUUGUAGCUCGGACUUUGAAGUGCAUGAAGUUGGAAUCGCUAGUAAUCGCG